rnacentral:rRNA from 1 species
CGCGUAGGCGGCGCGGCAAGUCUGUGGUGAAAGCCCGAGGCUCAACUUCGGGUCGGCCAUGGAUACUGCUGCGCUCGAGCACUGUAGAGGCAGGUGGAAUUCCGGGUGUAGCGGUGGAAUGCGUAGAGAUCCGGAAGAACACCGGUGGCGAAGGCGGCCUGCUGGGCAGUAGCUGACGCUGAGGCGCGACAGCGGUGGGGAGACAAACGA